rnacentral:misc_RNA from 1 species
UCUCCGUAGGUGAACCUGCGGAGGGAUCAUUACAGAGUUCAUGCCCUACCGGGUAGAUCUCCCACCCUAUGUUAUUAUUACUUUGUUGCUUUGGCGGGCCGUUAGGCUCCGGCCCGACUACCGGCCCCGGCUGGUAAGCGCCCGCCAGAGGACCCAAAACCCUGAAUAUUAGUGUCGUCUGAGUACUAUAUAAUAGUUAAAACUUUCAACAACGGAUCUCUUGGUUCUCACAUCGAUGAAGAACGCAGC